rnacentral:rRNA from 1 species
GAUGAACGCUGGCGGCGUGCCUAAUACAUGCAAGUCGAGCGAACAGACGAGGAGCUUGCUCCUCUGACGUUAGCGGCGGACGGGUGAGUAACACGUGGAUAACCUACCUAUAAGACUGGGAUAACUUCGGGAAACCGGAGCUAAUACCGGAUAACAUGUUGAACCGCAUGGUUCAACAGUGAAAGACGGUCUUGCUGUCACUUAUAGAUGGAUCCGCGCCGCAUUAGCUAGUUGGUAAGGUAACGGCUUACCAAGGCAACGAUGCGUAGCCGACCUGAGAGGGGGGUCGGCCAAACUGGAACUGAGACACGGUCCCGACUCCUACGGGAGGGAGCAGUAGGGAAUCUUCCGCCAUGGGGGGAAGCCUGACGGAGCAAAGCCGCGUGAGGGAAGAAGGUCUUUGGAUCGUAAAACCCUUUUAAUAGGGAAGAAAAAAUUUUUAAGUAACUAUGCACGUCUUGACGGUACCUAAUCAGAAAGCCACGGCUAACUACGUG